AGUGCUGGCGUGUGCCACCACUGCCCUGCUUGAAGUUAUUUAUUACAGCAGCAACUGAAAGCCAACCACUGAAAGGCAAUUUGAGCAGCCUUCCUUCAAGGGGUGUGCCCGAAGCCAAGAAGAGAAGAUCUGAUGUCACCAAGAAAAAGGCAAUCCUGCUCUGGUGCCCUGUAGGAGGCAUGUCAGAUCCAUCCCAUCUCCCCACCCAGCACAUAAGCAAUCCCUGAGGAAAUGAGGCACUGGAAUCCAGGACUUCUGACCUUGAGGGUUGGUAGAUAUCAAUAGUUCUGCAAGUAGAGGUCAGGUGGUCUAGAAGCUUGGCUAGAAGAACCACUCUUAACUUCACCUUCUGAUAAAGUGGACUUUUCCUUCAGUGAUGAAUGUAAGAAGCCACAGAGUCAGUGGCAAAAACUGUAGCUUUGUCACUGGUGAAAAAGUAAACAAACCAACAAUGCCCACGAUACUUCCAAAUUAAACAUCUUUCAAAAACAA